GUCAUUUCAGAUUUCUUCUAUUAAAGCAUCUCCUAUUAAAACACUAGAUUCCGAUAAGUUUCACCGUUUAACUUUUCUGCUCUUGCAUCUAUCCCCAUAGUUGUUCUGCUUCUUCUGAUAUUCCGUUGUUCAGUACGCUUUUUGUUUCCCGCUGACGCAAGAAAAAACCCAGGUUGAAAUCGGUUGCCACUGGGUUCUUCGCUGCUACACCCAUUAACUGAUACGAGUUGAUUGGCGUCGGAAAGUCGAGGAAAAGGCAUACUACAUGAUUAAAUUGAAGCAAGUCGAGAUCCAGGUAUAUCUUAUCAGACCAGACAUCAGUAAACUAGUUGUACGAGAAGACUUCGAGGUAUAUCUGCCAACAUCCGCAGACUCCGAAGUCUCCUUCUAUCUUACUAUAUUGUCUUCCUUAUUUGUUUUAGACUCUGAUGUAUAGAGACGUAGAGAAUAAAUUCUUAGAAGCUUGUGACUUAUU